rnacentral:rRNA from 1 species
GAUGAACGCUGGCGGCGUGCCUAAUACAUGCAAGUCGAGCGAACGGACGAGAAGCUUGCUUCUCUGAUGUUAGCGGCGGACGGGUGAGUAACACGUGGAUAACCUACCUAUAAGACUGGGAUAACUUCGGGAAACCGGAGCUAAUACCGGAUAAUAUUUUGAACCGCAUGGUUCAAAAGUGAAAGACGGUCUUGCUGCCACUUUUAGUGGGAUCCGCGCUGCUUUAGCUAGUUGGUAAGGUAACGGCUUACAAAGGCAACGAUGCAUAGCCGACCUGAGAGGGUGAUCGGCCACACUGGAACUGAGACACGGUCCAGACUCCUACGGGAGGCAGCAGUAGGGAAUCUUCCGCAAUGGGCGAAAGCCUGACGGAGCAACGCCGCGUGAGUGAUGAAGGUCUUCGGAUCGUAAAACUCUGUUAUUAGGGAAGAACAUAUGUGUAAGUAACUGUGCACAUCUUGACGGUACCUAAUCAGAAAGCCACGGCUAACUACGUG